rnacentral:miRNA from 1 species
UGAGGUUGUAAAACAGACAGU